rnacentral:rRNA from 1 species
UAUGUGAUCGUCUCUCGCAUAUCAAUAAGCGGAGGAAAAGAAACUAACAAGGAUUCCCCUAGUAACGGCGAGUGAAGCGGGAAGAGCUCAAAUUUGAAAUCUUAAAGGGUUUCCCUUUACGAAUUGUAGUUUAAAGAAGUGUUUUCUGUUGAGGUUUUGGUAAAAGUUCUUUGGAAUAGGACAUCAUAGAGGGUGAGAAUCCCGUAUUUGACCUUUACUUUCAACUUUGUGAUACACUUUCAAAGAGUCGGAUUGUUUGGGAAUGCAGUCCAAAAUGGGUGGUAAAUUUCAUCUAAAGCUAAAUAUUGGCGAGAGACCGAUAGCGAACAAGUACCGUGAGGGAAAGAUGAAAAGAACUUUGAAAAGAGAGUUAAACAGUACGUGAAAUUGUCAAAAGGGAAGCGUUUGACACCAGUGUUGUUUUUCUGAAAAUCAAUUAAAGAACUGUUUAUGCUAAGCUGUUUAGACUUUAUCAGCUAUCUGUUUAGUUUUGAGCUUUUCUUUAAUGCACUUUUCAGUUAACAAGUCAACAUCAAUUUCUUUUGCUGUAAAAAAGCUUGAGGAAGGCGGCUUGAGAUUCGUCUUAAGUGUUUAUAGCCUCUUGCCUAUGCAGUCGGAGAGAUUGAGGUCUGCAGCGUAGAUCCUUUGGGGCUAAAUGCAUUUGUGCUAAGUUAUAGCAUUUUAUAGACAACUUGUUGACUAUGAUUUGUCUUGUAGCUUACUCGCUUAUGUUAUUUUACCUACGCUUAGGAUGUUGAAGACUCUACAGAGAUA